CCCUUAGAUGUUCGGGGCCGCACGCGCGCUACACUGAAGGAAUCAGCACGUCUUUCUCCUUGUCCGAAAGGACUGGGUAACCCGCUGAACCUCCUUCGUGCUAGGGAUUGGGGCUUGUAAUUCUUCCCCAUGAACGUGGAAUUCCCAGUAAGCGCGAGUCAUAAGCUCGCGUUGAUUACGUCCCUGCCCUUUGUACACACCGCCCGUCGCUACUACCGAUUGGAUGGUUUAGUGAGAUCCUCGGAUUGGUCCCGGCGCGGCCUCUGGUCGUGCCGGAGUGCCGAAAAGAAUGUCGAACUUGAUCAUCUAGAGGAAGUAAAAGUCGUAACA
rnacentral:rRNA from 1 species